UACAGAGGUAUCAAGCGUUGUUCGGAUUCAUUGGGCGUAAAGGGUGCGUAGGUGGCGCGCUAAGUCAGGUGUGAAAUUUCGGAGCUUAACUCCGAAACUGCAUUUGAUACUGGCGUGCUUGAGGACUGGAGAGGAGACUGGAAUUCAUGGUGUAGCAGUGAAAUGCGUAGAGAUCAUGAGGAAGACCAGUGGCGAAGGCGGGUCUCUGGACAGUUCCUGACACUGAGGCACGAAGGCCAGGGGAGCAAACGGG
rnacentral:rRNA from 1 species